rnacentral:rRNA from 1 species
GUGGGGGAUAUUGCACAAUGGGCGCAAGCCUGAUGCAGCGACGCCGCGUGGGGGAUGACGGCUUUCGGGUUGUAAACCUCUUUCGUCGGGGGACAAGGCUCUGCUUGGUGGUGGGGUUGAGGGUACCCGGUGAAGAAGCGCCGGCUAACUACGUGCCAGCAGCCGCGGUAAUACGUAGGGCGCGAGCGUUGUCCGGAAUUAUUGGGCGUAAAGGGCUCGUAGGCGGCUUGUCGCGUCUGCUGUGAAAAUGCGGGGCUUAACUCCGUACGUGCAGUGGGUACGGGCAGGCUAGAGUGCGGUAGGGGUGACUGGAAUUCCUGGUGUAGCGGUGGAAUGCGCAGAUAUCAGGAGGAACACCGAUGGCGAAGGCAGGUCACUGGGCUGUUACUGACGCUGAGGAGCGAAAGCGUGGGGAGCGAACAGGAUUAGAAACCCCAGUAGUCC